GAGUGCUUGCACUCAGCGGUCAAAGUGCGAGUGGCGAACGGGUGAGUAACACGUGGGCAAUCUGCCCAAAAGUGGGGGAUAACACUUGGAAACAGGUGCUAAUACCGCAUCAACCGGCUGACCGCAUGGUCGGCCGGGCAAAGACGGCGUCAGCUGUCGCUUUUGGAUGAGCCCGCGGCGUAUUAACUAGUUGGUAAGGUAACGGCUUACCAAGGUGAUGAUACGUAGCCGAACUGAGAGGUUGAUCGGCCACAUUGGGACUGAGACACGGCCCAAACUCCUACGGGAGGCAGCAGUAGGGAAUCUUCCACAAUGGACGCAAGUCUGAUGGAGCAACGCCGCGUGUAUGAAGAAGGUCUUCGGAUCGUAAAAUACUGUUGUCAGAGAAGAACACGUGAUAGAGUAACUGCUAUGACGCUGACGGUAUCUGACCAGCAAGUCACGGCUAACUACGUGCCAGCAGCCGCGGUAAUACGUAGGUGGCAAGCGUUGUCCGGAUUUAUUGGGCGUAAAGGGAACGCAGGCGGUCUUUUAAGUCUGAUGUGAAAGCCUUCGGCUUAACCGGAGAAGUGCAUUGGAAACUGGAAGACUUGAGUGCAGAAGAGGAGAGUGGAACUCCAUGUGUAGCGGUGAAAUGCGUAGAUAUAUGGAAGAACACCAGUGGCGAAAGCGGCUCUCUGGUCUGUAACUGACGCUGAGGUUCGAAAGCGUGGGGAGCGAACAGGAUUAGAUACCCUGGUAGUCCACGCUGUAAACGAUGAAUGC
rnacentral:rRNA from 2 species